AACCACUACGGAAAGAGGUGGACUAACUACCGCAUACCGCCGUACGGGAAGGGGGGAUCGCAAGACCUCUCACUAUUGGAGCGGCCGAUAUCGGAUUAGCCAGUUGGUGGGGUAAAGGCCUACCAAGGCGACGAUCCGUAGCUGGUUUUGAGAGGACGACCAGCCACACUGGGACUGAGACACGGCCCAGACUCCUACGGGAGGCAGCAGUGGGAAUUUUGGACAAUGGGGAAACCCUGAUCCAGCCAUUCCGCGUGUGCGAUGAAGGCCUUCGGGUUGUAAAGCACUUUUGGCAGGAAAGAAAUCGUGUGGGUUAAUACCCUGCGCGGAUGACGGUACCUGCAGAAUAAGCACCGGCUAACUACGUG
rnacentral:rRNA from 1 species